rnacentral:rRNA from 1 species
GGGCCCGCACAAGCAGCGGAGCGUGUGGUUUAAUUCGAUGUUACACGAAGAACCUUACCAGGGUUUGACAUGCAAGUGGUAGGAAGCCGAAAGGUGACCGACCCUUCGGGAGCUUGCACAGGUGCUGCAUUGGCUGUCGUCAGCUCGUGUCGUGAGAUGUUGGGUUAAGUCCCGCAACGAGCGCAACCCUUGCCAUUAGUUGCUACGAAAGGGCACUCUAAUGGGACUGCCGGUGACAAACCGGAGGAAGGUGGGGAUGACGUCAAGUCCUCAUGGCCCUUAUAGGUAGGGCUACACACGUCAUACAAUGGAUGGUACAGAGGGUCGCCAACCCGCGAGGGGGAGCUAAUCCCAUAAAACCAUUCGUAGUCCGGAUCGCAGUCUGCAACUCGACUGCGUGAAGUCGGAAUCGCUAGUAAUCGCGGAUCAGAAUGUCGCGGUGAAUACGUUCCCGGGUCUU